UCAAUUACAGCCUUUACAAAAGAAAGCAAGAUAAAAAAAAACCCAUGGAUUUGAGCAAGGGAAAAGAAAGAAAAAAAAAAACCAUGGCUUCAAUACAGAUCUAAGCAAGAGCCUUACAACAAAGAGGUUCGAAUAUAUCAAAAGCGGGCCAUGAGACGGCAGCUCACCAUCUGUUCGAUUCUUAUCCGCCGUUUCGGGGCUUUUCUCUCUUUUGAUCUGAUAUAUGAGGUGGAAGAGUCGAAGACUCAGUUCAUAUCAAUCGGCUCCAGAGGUGAACAGGAGACCACCGCAGAUCAAUCCGCUCCAGAUAUGAAUCGGUGACAUAGAUAACCACUUGUCGGCAACUCGCAACCACCAGAAAAAAACGAUAAGCCACCAUGAUUUACGUUUCUUUUAAUUUUUUUUGGUAAUUGACUUGUUUUACUCAUAUAGUUUUGCUGAUUUUGAUAUAUAUAUCUCAUUAUUGAUUGAUAUAUUUGUGCCGUCGGUAAGUACAUUACACGAUCUUUACUUCAUCAAUUCGCAGAAGCCAAUCCUCACCUCGCAAGAAAGAAGAAAAACAACAAAAAAGAGGAAAAGAAAAGAAAAAUCUUUAUUUCUGCUACAACUUUGGUUUGCAGGUGUAGUAUAGAGGAGGAGGCAAUGAAUAUAAAGAACGGAGGACUCUGCAUCUUCCCUGCCAAGAAAUAAGUCCUCUUGCUUGUCCGGCUUACCAUACUUUGGGCAGAAGAGAAGAUUAAAUGGGAAAAUAAAGGCUGGUAUUAAGAGGCUAAGAGCAGAGAUGGCGGAAAUCAGUGAGGAACAAAGAUGCAUAAAAGAGGGACAGAGACAAGUGAGGAAAAAAUAUGGAAAGAUUGAAGCAGAGUGCAAGCAACUGUGGAAAGAAACAAAGUUGAUAGCAAAGCAGAGUGCGGGUAUCCAAUUGAAGCUAAAUCUCAUGUUCAAAUUAGUAAAAGCAAGAGUUCAGAAUGACACUGCUUGGGUUUUAAAGGUUCAGUUUGGGCAGAAGAGGAGUAAAUGGGAAAAUAAAGACUGGUAUUAAGAGGCUAAGAGUAGAGGUGGCAUAAAUCAGCGAGGAACAAAAAUGCAUAAAAGAGGGGUAGAGACAAGUGAGCAAAAAAACAUGAAGAGAUUGAAGCAGUGCGCAAGCAACUGUAGAAAGAGAUAGAGGAUUACGUAUGGUAAACAGGACAAGUGAGAAGACUUGUUUCUUGGCAGGGAAGCUGCAGCCUCCUCUAUCAGAUGUUUUGGUACUUGCACCUGCAAACCAAAGUAGUAACUAGAAAUAAAGAUGCAUUCUUUCCCCUCUAAUCCUCCUCUUUUUUUUCCCCCUGUUACCCUUUCUUGCGAGGGGAGGAUUGGCUUAAGUAAAGAUGGUGUUUAUAUAGAGACAUCAGGCACAAAGACAAUCAGCAUGUGACGUUGAUUUUUUAGCAAGUAAUGGAAUACGGUGGCCAAGUGGCAGAUAGUAAUUCAAAAUAACUCUACAAGUCACGCUCACAAGUCGUUGGUAUCGAUGUACAUGAAUAUAUAUAGACAAGGAAAUGGAGGCGUACUUCAAGCUUUUAGUGGUGGUUCAAAAUUUAUUUAUUUAUUUAUUUUUGACAGAUGGUUAUUGUUCAAAAUUAAACAACGCAACAAUGAACAAUGUUGCACAAUGUUUAGUUAGAUUUCUUUGUAACCCUCCCUUGCUUAA